UGUCUAAAAUUCCAUUCAUUUGUACUAUUAAAAGUUGGUGUGGUUGAUAAAAUAACUAGACAAUGGCAUGUGAUGUGCUAUGUGUAUAUUAUGUUGACGUACAUAGACCAAUUUUUAAUAGCAAAAAUGGAUGAAAUUUUCAACA
rfam:Gossypium hirsutum cultivar TM-1 chromosome 22, whole genome shotgun sequence